rfam:Gossypium arboreum cultivar AKA8401 contig_12737_3, whole genome shotgun sequence.
UGUUAAAAAAAUUCAUCCAUUUCUAAUACUAAAAACCUACUUAACUAACAAAAUAACCAAAUAGUGACACAUUAUGUGCCAUGUGUAUCUUAUGAUGAUGUAAAGAGAUUAAUUUUUAACGGUAAAAAUGAAUAAAAAUUUUAAUA